rnacentral:rRNA from 1 species
AUUGAACGCUGGCGGCAGGCCUAACACAUGCAAGUCGAGCGGAUGAAGGGAGCUUGCUCCUGGAUUCAGCGGCGGACGGGUGAGUAAUGCCUAGGAAUCUGCCUGGUAGUGGGGGAUAACGUCCGGAAACGGGCGCUAAUACCGCAUACGUCCUGAGGGAGAAAGUGGGGGAUCUUCGGACCUCACGCUAUCAGAUGAGCCUAGGUCGGAUUAGCUAGUUGGUGGGGUAAAGGCCUACCAAGGCGACGAUCCGUAACUGGUCUGAGAGGAUGAUCAGUCACAUGGGAACUGAGACACGGUCCAGACGCCUACGGGAGGCAGCAGUGGGGAAUAUUGGACAAUGGGCGAAAGCCUUGUCCAGCCAGGCCGCGUGUGUGAAGAAGGUCUUCGGAUUGUAAAGCACGUUAAGUUGGGAGGAAGGGCAGUAAGUUAAUACCUUGCUGUUUUGACGUUACCAACAGAAUAAGCACCGGCUAACUUCGUG